GUUUGCUUUGGCGGGGCAUGUAGUAAAAUUGGAACAAUACAGAGUAGAUUAGCGUGGUUCCUGCAGAAGGAUGACACACAAAUUUGUGAAGCAUUCCAUAUUUAA
ensembl:snRNA U6 U6 spliceosomal RNA